GGGAGAGAGAAAGUGCUGGGAGCUGGGAACCUCCCCCCAAGUCCCCACAUCAGAAGAGGACACUUUGGGACCGACCCCCCCCAUCUCCCCCAGGGCCUUCAUCCUUUGGGGUGGCAGCAGUGCUCACGAGUGCCUGUUUCCCUCCCACCCGCGAGGGCACCGCUCCCGCUCCUCCAAGCCCUCCUCCCGCCUCCUUCCGCAGGUGCUGCAGGAGAAGGUGGGCCUGUCUGUCACAGAUGUGUCCCGCCCCACCCAAGCCCAAGGACAGUUCAGGGUCUUCUUGGUUUGACUACACAGAUGCCUGUUCAAGAGUCUCCGGCAGUCCCGGUUCUGGGACUUCCCCCAAAUCAGGCAUGUGUCUGUGGCAU
rnacentral:lncRNA from 1 species